GGACUACCCUUUUACUACUGUGGCAGUGGAGGUAGUAUUGUUUUAUGUGUACUGCUGCAGACUGGUCGCGAGGGCAGAUAAAGAGCAAGAGCUUUUUUGUUUUCUACAGAGUUGAUUUUGGAAAAAGCUAAAAGGUCUACUGAGGGUCAGCGAGGCGGUCUGCUGUUGGACAUUAUGGGAGGGCCAGGUUGUGCAGAAUGCUGUUAGCUGAGACUCAUGGACCGCUCAUUUUUUCGGCAGAGCCACUGGCGCAGGAGUCUAGUGUCUGCAGAAACCAGCAUCCUGUUUCCGGAGCCUCCAUGAGGAGUCCGCACACCUGAAAAAUUGGAUGGACUCAACGCAGAAUAUUGGAGACGGGAACUACAUCCCAACGUGAUGUCGGACACUGUCCAUGUCUCCAGUUGGAAGAGUACUGGAGAAGGAUGAGGUCUUUUGACUGCUCUGAUGAUAUCUAAUAGGAAGUGCCGUCAGAAGCGAUAACUGACGAUAACUACUCCUGGCUGACUGCAGUCAAAAGUUGCAAAUUGGCAGAGGAAACCAGCAGCUUAGUAUUGCAGCCUGGAGCAUUGGCCUUGGAACAGGUUUGGGGAGCAGUGCUGGAGUGCAGUUUUAGAGCUGGCAGAGGCUAAGGACUCAAAGCUGCCAUUCAUUCAGUUUGAGAACCUAAAUGACUUCAACAUUUGGUACAGAAGAAACAAGUUGGGCAUGGUGGCACACGAUGCAAUCUCAGCAAAAGUGGAAAUCCCAGAAGAAACAAGCUUACCUCCAGCAUCAGAGGCCUUCUCAGCAGAACUGAUGUAUCUGGCAACUUUUUGUAGGACAGGCACAUUUAGUGUCAUGCACUAACCUGAACAACAAACAGGAGCAGCUUCUAUGUCUUUGGAUAAAUUUAUGUUUAUAAGUGUUGUUAUUAAAUAGUAUUGUAAUAACGGAUGGUCUUUGGUAUUGAUUCUUAGAAAUAUGUAUUUGGAGAAAAAGUUAAAUUUGACUGCUGUGAGUGUUAGCAUUCAAGUUUGUAAACUUCUGAUCAGUCUGGUCAUUUUAACUGUAGACCUCAGGGGCAAAAAUUCAGAAGCAUUUCAGGCAUCCAUCCUUGAUAAUAGUCCCUGCUGCCUUUGUCCCUUGAAGCGUGUGAUGAAUGAGUUGGCUGUACACGAUAUUUAGCCAGAACCAUUAAAGGACAUGUCCAGCCUC